GGCAGGGUGGCCGAGUGGUCUAAGGCGAAGGACUCAAGUUCCUCUCUCUUCGGAGGCGUGGGUUCAAACCCCACCCCUGUCA